rnacentral:rRNA from 1 species
AACCCUGACGCAGCAACGCCGCGUGGGUGAUGAAGGUCUUCGGAUUGUAAAGCCCUGUUUUCUAGGACGAUAAUGACGGUACUAGAGGAGGAAGCCACGGCUAACUACGUGCCAGCAGCCGCGGUAAUACGUAGGUGGCGAGCGUUGUCCGGAUUUACUGGGCGUAAAGGGUGCGUAGGCGGAUGUUUAAGUGGGAUGUGAAAUCCCCGGGCUUAACCUGGGGGCUGCAUUCCAAACUGGAUAUCUAGAGUGCAGGAGAGGAAAGCGGAAUUCCUAGUGUAGCGGUGAAAUGCGUAGAGAUUAGGAAGAACACCAGUGGCGAAGGCGGCUUUCUGGACUGUAACUGACGCUGAGGCACGAAAGCGUGGGUAGCAAACAGGAUUAGAUACCCUGGUAGUCCACGCCGUAAACGAUGGAUACUAGGUGUAGGGGGUAUCAACUCCCCCUGUGCCGCAGUUAACACAAUAAGUAUCCCGCCUGGGGAGUACGGUCGCAAGAUUAAAACUCAAAGGAAUUGACGGGGGCCCGCACAAGCAGCGGAGCAUGUGGUUUAAUUCGAAGCAACGCGAAGAACCUUACCUGGACUUGACAUCCCUUGCAUAGCCUAGAGAUAGGUGAAGCCCUUCGGGGCAAGGAGACAGGUGGUGCAUGGUUGUCGUCAGCU